AUUGAACGCUGGCGGAAUGCUUUACACAUGCAAGUCGAACGGCAGCACGGACUUCGGUCUGGUGGCGAGUGGCGAACGGGUGAGUAAUGUGUCGGAACGUGCCCAGUCGUGGGGGAUAACGUAGUGAAAAUUACGCUAAUACCGCAUACGAUCUAUGGAUGAAAGCGGGGGAUCGCAAGACCUCGCGCGAUUGGAGCGGCCGAUAUCAGAUUAGGUAGUUGGUGGGGUAAAGGCCCACCAAGCCAACGAUCUGUAGCUGGUCUGAGAGGACGACCAGACACACUGGAACUGAGACACGGUCCAGACUCCUACGGGAGGCAGCAGUGGGGAAUUUUGGACAAUGGGCGAAAGCCUGAUCCAGCCAUUCCGCGUGCAGGAUGAAGGCCCUCGGGUUGUAAACUGCUUUUGUACAGAACGAAAAGGUUUCUACUAAUACUAGGAGCUCAUGACGGUACUGUAAGAAUAAGCACCGGCUAACUACGUGCCAGCAGCCGCGGUAA
rnacentral:rRNA from 1 species